rnacentral:tRNA from 1 species
GUUGUGGCUCAAUGGUAGGGUGCUUGCCUGGCAUGCAGGAAGUUAUGAGUUCAAUUCUUAGUGCAAUA